ACUUCAUCCGAUGCUUCGAGGGAAACCUCUGCUUUGGUGAAUGCCCGUGUGGAGUGGAAAGAAACCCCGGAGGCACACGUAGAUCAGCACAAGAUUUUUUAGAUUUGUAACGAAGCCCGGAGGCGCACGUAGAUCAGGGCAAGAUUUUUUAGAUCUGUAAUGGAGGCAGUGAUGAACCAAUUUGUGUGUUAGGCGAAUUUUAGAUUGAUGGAGACGAAGAUUGAUCAUCUGCCGACGAAGAUCAUAAACUACAAGCACAAUCAUGCCCUCUUCUUUCCGUCUCCUUCCUAAUCGCCUCCACCGUCGGUGACCCACUGGUCAUUCACCUUCCAAGCAUCCUUUUUCGCCUGAUUUAUCCGGAAUCGAAGAUUUUUCGGUGCUUUCCAUCAGAGAGAUUUAUGCAGUAAAAAGGACUUUGCGAUUGGCUCAAGAUUUGUUUCAACAGUUGAAGAAGAUUUUCUCCAAUCGAAAAGGUCGUUUUUGCUUUCAACUAAUAACACUAGGUCGACAUUUGAUUCCCGAACCAAGUCGUUGUUUACAUUUGCCCUAAAUCACAAAUAGAAUCGUAAAAUACAAGUCGUUGCAGGAGGAUUUGGAUGCUCCUACUGGGCGGCGUUAUAAAAUGAAAGAUGUCCCCUUCAGUAAGAAUCAAGAAGCUCACCAUUGGAUGCUCCUCCUGGGCAGAGUUGUUUUGUUGGAACUUCAAUUGUUGGUGUUUGUUUUUCACUCUGGGACAGCCUCUGAGAUGGAAGCUUUUCGAUCAAAUCAAAUGUAUUUAGCUUCGGUGUUGUUAUGUUAGAGAUUGUGAGUGGGAAGAAAAAAAUACGAUACUUUCAUAAAGAAUACACCCACAAUCUUAUUGGACAUGCAUGGGGAUUACAUAAAGAAGGGAAAUCUUUGGAACUGGUUGAAGAAUGUAUUAAUAUUGAAUCGAUGAAUUUAUUAGAAGUGAUGAGAUCGAUCCAUGUGGGGUUGUUGUGUGUGCAACAGAGACCUGAAGACAGAAUUUGCACUUAAUUACUAUUUAACCAUUUGUUCUUUGUUGUUCAAUUUGUUCUAAUCAUAAUCGGUUUUGCAGUUGUUCUUGAUGAAAAUAGGAGGACAAGAGCUGUAUGUUGGGCCUGUGGGUCGCCAUUCUUGGGAUAUAAUCGAGUAUUUCGAGGUCGGUAGCACCCCCAUGCACCCUUUACCUAAUUUUUUGGUCUACAACAGAUUUCAGGAGAAACAUCUCAUAAAAGUGAUGAAAUUUUGGAUUCACAGCAGCUACACUAACACACUAACAAAAAUAACCCAUUUGUUUGUUUAUUUUACCAGUGCUUUGUUUUUUCUCUUUCCAUGUAAGUCUAAAGUUGGUUUAGAAAGGUAAAGUGAUUAUUUUGAGAUUAAAAAUUGCUUUUGGAGGUUUAAUUAAAUGUGCAGGUCAAUGA